rnacentral:rRNA from 1 species
AGGACGAACGCUGGCGGCGUGCUUAACACAUGCAAGUCGAGCGGAAAGGCCCUUCGGGGUACUCGAGCGGCGAACGGGUGAGUAACACGUGAGUAAUCUGCCCCUAGCUCUGGGAUAGCUCCGGGAAAACCGGGAUUAAUACCGGAUACGACCACCUUAGACAUCUUUUGUGGUGGAAAGAAUUUCGGCUAGGGAUGAGCUCGCGGCCUAUCAGCUUGUUGGUGGGUAACGCCUACCAAGGCGACGACGGGUA